GGACUGUGUCGUAAAUGCAGAACAGGAUAGUGAUUCUUGUAAAUGCUGUUUAUCUGGUGUUAGGGUUUUUAAGCCAACAGCAGGCUUCCACAGACUCUUUGUUCCUCAAGGAAGAUAAAACAAGUGUUCAGCAGAUUACCUUAAAUAUGGAGAGAGCCUGGGCAGGAGGCAGUGUUAGAAUGCAGCAGUUCCUGUCCUGGGUGAAACAGAGAAUUACACAUCGGUGAUUAGAAGGAUUGCAGCUGGACCUGUCUGAAUGAUCAUCCCCAGAUAUCAGCUCCACCUGAUUUCCUUCCAGCGAGCUGAUGAAAUAACAACCUAUAAACACAUCCUGGAAGACAGCAGCCAACCAGCAAGUCAACAUUCCCUGGAAAUGUAAAGCAGCUGCUCCAUAAGGGAAAGGUUUUACAUCUGCCCUAACCUUCUCCCAGCCCUGGAAGGAAAUUCUGGGAUAGAGAAUGAGUGGGAAAUGCAGGUUUCUUGGAAAGACCUUCACUUUAUAUGUUUUUUUUCUUUAGCUCAUAAUAUUUUUUGCACCCUGAAGUACCUUGUACCAUCCAUGGGUUGGGUUUGAGGUUUGCUCCAGAAGAAAAUGAAUCAUGCCUUGAAGAUUGACUCUGUGGACUUGAUGUGCAUCAACUACAAGGGAGUGUGGGCUGGGUACAUGUAUCACCAGAACUACACAAUGGGAAAUAAUGACAGUCAACAUCCCAGAAAACAUUUCAGGAUUGCAAAAAAAAUUCCUAUCUGCAUCUGGUUAAAUGCGAGAAUUUUCAGAAGUUUUUCACUGCAAGCCCAAAGGAAAUGAUCCAUCUGAGAAAAGCCAGUAGUGUGUUGGUUGUGCUCCCCACCCAGGAGCAUCAAAGGGUUUUUAGGAGCCAGGACUUCCAAAAGCCAAUCAUUCCUCAGUUCUCAUCCUCAAGGUUGUAGUGGAAGAUCGUGGAAAAAUUUGGAACAGAUCCUCUGAUCAUUUUUGGGUUAUCAGCCACCCUACAACCGUUCCUUCAGUGAACAGCCAGCCAGAAUUUCACUUCAAAAUGCGCAAAUCUGUGGUUCUAUUUCAAUUAUUCAUCAGAAACUUGUGGAUUGGACUUGACUCCCUGAGCUUUCAUUUCUCUGAGCUUCCCUGCAUAGACUAAGACUCAUUCUUGAAGAAAAUGGGUGUAAACUUUUGCCCAAUCUGUCAAACUACCCAUGCACUGCACAAAUAUGCACUGACAGGUUUUUUGAGGAAUUUUUUUUUAAAAAACAAAACAAAACAAGGAGUUUUUUACUGAACCUGCAGUUUAGAGUUUCAUAAAUCUUCAUUGGACAAAAUUUGCUUUCUGAGUCAUGACUUCUCGUGAUUUAUACCUCAAUGUAUGCACUUUGUCACAUUGUCACUUGGAAGGGUUUUUAGAGAGAAAAUGGAGAUGUGAGUGAAGUUAAAUGUAACACUUGGAACCAAUCAGGAACAUUUAGAUCAAUUACUCUGAUUGUCCACUAUUUUGUUAGUUGGGCAAAAAGAAAUAAACAAAAAACUCCACAAUAUUUCUGAGAGAAA
rnacentral:lncRNA from 1 species